rnacentral:rRNA from 1 species
UACGAAGGGGGGCUAGCGUUGUUCGGAAUCACUGGGCGUAAAGGGCGCGUAGGCGGCCGAUCAAGUCGGGGGUGAAAGCCUGUGGCUCAACCACAGAAUUGCCUUCGAUACUGUUUGGCUUGAGACCGGAAGAGGUAAGUGGAACUGCGAGUGUAGAGGUGAAAUUCGUAGAUAUUCGCAAGAACACCAGUGGCGAAGGCGGCUUACUGGUCCGGUUCUGACGCUGAGGCGCGAAAGCGUGGGGGAGCAAACAGG